CAAAUUAAAGCUUAAAUAAAGCAUUUUAUUUACAUUAAAAAGAUUAUCAUAAUAGAUAUUAUUUGA
rnacentral:tRNA from 1 species